rnacentral:lncRNA from 1 species
UUUUUGGGGCGCGGUUGUGCCCGUGGCUUAUUUUUGGCACACGGAGGCCGCCCGCCAAGUCUGGGGCCAUUCCGAGUCCCGCGGACGAACUUCGCCCACGCCCCCCACCAAGGCUAUAGCCCACCCGUUUUUUGGCCAUUUUUCCGCUGGGGGGUUCUUGGGACUCCGACCUUCGGGGGCUGAUUUUUGGGCGCGGCUGUGCCCGUGGCCUAUUUUUGGCACACGGAGGCCGCCCGCCAAGUCUGGGGCCAUUCCGAGUCCGGCGGACGAACUUCGCCCACGCCCCCCACAUAGGCUAUAGCCCACCCAUUUUUUGGCCAUUUUUCCGCUGGGGGGUCUUGGGACCCCGACCUUCGGGGGCUGAUUUUUGGGCGCGGCCGUGCCCGUGGUCUAUUUUUGGCACACGGAGGCCGCCCGCCAAGUAUGGUGCCAUUCCGAGUCCCGCGGACGAACUUCGCCCACUCCCGCCACCAAGGCUAUAGCCCACCCGUUUUUUGGCCAUUUUUCCGCUGGGGGGUCUUGGGACCCCGACCUUCGGGGGCUGAUUUUUGGGCGCGGCUGUGCCUGUGUGUCUAUUUUUGGCACACGGAGGCCGCCCGCCAAAUCUGGGGCCAUUCCGAGUCCCGCGGACGAACUUCGCCCACGCCCCCCACCAAGGCUAUAGCCCACCCGUUUUUUGGCCAUUUUUCCGCUGGGGGGUCUUGGGACUCCGACCUUCGGGGGCUGAUUUUUGGGCGCGGCUGUGCCCGUGGCCUAUUUUUGGCACACGGAGGCCGCCCGCCAAGUCUGGGGCCAUUCCAAGUCCGGCGGACGAACUUCGCCCACGCCCCCCACAUAGGAUAUAGCCCACCCGUUUUUUGGCCAUUUUUCCGCAGGGGGGUCUUGGGACCCCGACCUUCGGGGGCUGAUUUUUGGGCGCGGCUGUGCCCGUGGCCUAUUUUUGGCACACGGAGGCCGCCCGCCAAGUCUGGGGCCAUUCCGAGUCCGGCGGACGAACUUCGCCACGCCCCCCACCAAGGCUAUAGCCCACCCGUUUUUUGGCCAUUUUUCCGCUGGGGGGUCUUGGGACCCCGACCUUCGGGGGCUGAUUUUUGGGCGCGGCUGUGCCCGUGGCCUAUUUUUGCCACACGGUGGCCGCCCGCCAUGUCUGGAGCCAUUCUGAGUCCCGCGGACGAACUUCGCCCAUGCCGCCCACCAAGGCUAUAGCCCCCCCGUUUUUUGGCCAUUUUUCCGCUGGGGGGUCUUGGGACCCCGACCUUCGGGGGCUGAUUUUUGGGCGCGGCUGUGCCCGUGGCCCAUUUUUGGCAAACGGAGGCCGCCCGACCCCGACCUUCGGGGGCUGAUUUUUGGGCGCGGCUGUGCCCGUGGCCCAUUUUUGGCACAUGGAGGCCGCCCGCCAUGUCUGGGGCCAUUCCGAGUCCGGCGGACGAACUUCGCCCACGCCCCGCGCCAAGGCUAUAGCCCACCAGUUUUUUGGCCAUUUUUCCGCUGGGGGGUCUUGGGACCCUGACCUUCGGGGGCUGAUUUUUGGGCGCGGCUGUGCCCGUGGCCUAUUUUUGGCACACGGAGGCCGCCCGCCAAGUCUGGGGCCAUUCUGAGUCCCGCGGACGAACUUCGCCCACGCCCCUCACCAAGGCUAUAGCCCACCCUUUUUUUGGCCAUUUUUUCGCUGGGGGGUCUUGGGACCCCGACCUUCGGGGGCUGAUUUUUGUACGCGGCUGUGCCCGUGGUCUAUAUUUGUUCACGAUAGCCGCCCGCCAAGUUUGGGGACAUUCCNNNNNNNNNNNNNNNNNNNNNNNNNNNNNNNNNNNNNNNNNNNNNNNNNNNNNNNNNNNNNNNNNNNNNNNNNNNNNNNNNNNNNNNNNNNNNNNNNNNNCGGCGGACGAACUUCGCCCACGCCCCCCACCAAGGCUAUAGCCCACCCGUUUUUUUACCAUUUUUCCGCUGGGGGACUUGGGACCCCGACCUUCGGGGGCUGAUUUUUGGGGGCGGCUGUGCCCGUGGCCUAUUUUUGGCACAGGGAGGCCGCCCGCCAAGUCUGGGGCCAUUCCGAGUCCUGCGGACGAACUUCGCCCACGACCCCCACCAAGGCUAUAGCCCACACAUUUUUUGGCCAUUUUUCCGCUGGGGGGUCUUGGGACCCCGACCUUCGGGGGCUGAUUUUUGGGCGCGGCUGUGCCCGUGGACUAUUUUUGGAACACGGGGGCCGCCCGCCAAGUCUGGGGCCAUUCUGAGUCCCGCGGACGAACUUCGCCCACGCCCCCCACCAAGGCUAUAGCCCACCCGUUUUUUGGCCAUUUUUCCGCUGGGGGGUCUUGGGACCCCGACCUUCGGGGGCUGAUUUUUGGGCGCGGCUGUGCCCGUGGCCUAUUUUUGGCACACGGAGGCCGCCCGCCAAGUCUGGGGCCAUUCCGAGUCCCGCGGACGAACUUCGCCCACGCCCCCCACCAAGGCUAUAGCCCACCCGUUUUUUGGCCAUUGUUCCGCUGCGGGGUCUUUGGACCCCGACCUUCGGGGGCUGAUUUUUGGGCGCGGCUAUGCCCGUGGCCUAUUUUUGGCACACGGUGGCCGCCCGCCAAGUCUGGGGCCAUUCCGAGUCCGGCGGACGAACUUCGCCCACGCCCCCAACCAAGGCUAUAGCCCACCCGUUUUUUGGCCAAUUUUCCGCUGGGGGGUCUUGGGACCCUGACCUUCGGGGGCUGAUUUUUGGGCGCGGCUUUGCCCGUGGCCUAUUUUUGGCACAGGGAGGCCGCCCGCGAAGUCUGGGGCCAUUCCGAGUCCGGCGGACAAACUUCGCCCACGCCCCCCACCAAGGCUAUAGCCCACCCAUUUUUUGGCCAUUUUUCCGCUGGGGGGUCUUGGGACCCCGACCUUCGGUGGCUGAUUUUGGGCGCGGCUGUGCCCGUGGCCUAUUUUUGGCACACGGAGGCCGCCCUCCAAGUCUGUGCCAUUCCGAGUCCCGCGGACGAACUUCGCCCACGACCCCCACCAAGGCUAUAGCCCACCCGUUUUUUGGCCAUUUUUCCGCUGGGGGGUCUUGGGACCCCGACCUUCGGGGGCUGAUUUUUGGGCGCGGCUGUGCCCGUGGCCUAUUUUUGGCACAGGGAGGCCGCCCGCCAAGUCUGGGGCCAUUCCUAGUCCGGACGACGAAUUUCGCCCGCGCCCCCCACAUAGGCUAUAGGCCAUCCGUUUUUUGGCCAUUUUUCCGCUGGGGGGUCUUGGGACCCCGACCUUCGGGGGCUGAUUUGUGGCGCGGCUGUGCCCGUGGCCUAUUUUUUGCACACGGAGGCCGCCCACCAAGUCUGGUGCCAUUCCGAGUCCGGCCGACGAACUUCGCCCACGCCCCCCACCAAGGCUAUAGCCCACCUGUUUUUUGGCCAUUUUUCCACUGGGGGGUCUUGGGGCCCCGACCUUCGGGGGCUGAUUUUUGGGCGCGGCUGUGCCCGUGGCCUAUUUUUGGCACACGGAGGCCGCCCGCCAAGUCUGGGGCCAUUCCUAGUCCGGACGACGAACUUCGCCCGCGCCCCCCACAUAGGCUAUAGCCCACCCGUUUUUUGGCCAUUUUUCCGCUGGGGGGUCUUGGGACCCCGACCUUCGGGGGCUGAUUUUUGGGCGCGGCUGUGCCCGUGGCCUAUUUUUGGCACACGGAGGCCGCCCGCCAAGUCUGGGGCCAUUCCGAGUCCCGCGGACGAACUUCGCCCACGCCCCCCACCAAGGCUAUAGCCCACCCGUUUUUUAGCCAUUUUUCCGCUGGGGGGUCUUGGGGCCCCGACCUUCGGGGGCUGAUUUUGGGCGCGGCUGUGCCCGUGGCCUAUUUUUGGCACACGGAGGCCGCCCGCCAAGUCUGGUGCCAUUCUGAGUCCCGCGGCCGAACUUCGCCCACGCCCCCCACCAAGGCUAUAGCCCACCCGUUUAUUGGCCAUUUUUCCGCCGGGGGGUCUUGGGACCCCGACCUCCGGGGGCUGAUCUUUGGGCGCGGCUGUGCCCGUGGCCUAUUUUUUGCACACGGAGGCCGCCCGCCAAGUCUGGUGCCAUUCCGAGUCCCGCGGACGAACUUCGCCCACGCCCCCCACCAAGGCUAUAGCCCACCCGUUUUUUGGCCAUUUUUCCGCUGGGGGGUCUUGGGACCCCGACCUUCGGGGGCUGAUUUUUGGGCGCGGCUGUGCCCGUGGCCUAUUUUUGGCACACGGAGGCCGCCCGCCAAGUCUGGGGCCAUUCCAAGUCCCGCGGACCAACUUCGCCCACGCCCCCCACCCAGGCUAUAGCCCACCCGUUUUUUGGCCAUUUUUCCGCUGGGGGGUCUUGGGACCCCGACCUUCGGGGGCUGAUUUUUGGGCGCGGCUGUGCCCGUGGCCUAUUUUUGGCACACGGAGGCCGCCCGCCAAGUCUGGGGCCAUUCCGAGUCCCGCGGACGAACUUCGCCCACGCCCCCCACCAAGGCUAUAGCCCACCCUUUUUUUGGCCAUUUUUCCGCUGGUGGGUCUUGGAACCCCGACCUUCGGGGGCUGAUUUUUGGGCGCGGCUGUGCCCGUGGCCUAAUUUUGGCACACGUAGGCCGCCCGCCAAGUCUGGUGCCAUUCCGAGUCCCGCGGACGAACUUCGCCCACGCCCCCCACCAAGGCUAUAGCCCACCCGUUUUUUGGCCAUUUUUCCGCUGGGGGGUCUUGGGGCCCCGACCUUCGGGGGCUGAUUUGUGGCGCGGCUGUGCCCGUGGCCUAUUUUUGGCACACGGAGGCCGCCCGCGAAGUCUGGUGCCAUUCCGAGUCCGGCCGACGAACUUCGCCCACGCCCCCCACCAAGGCUAUAGCCCACCCGUUUUUUGGCCAAUUUUCCGCUGGGGGGUCUUGGGACCCCGACCUUCGGGGGCUGAUUAUUGGGCGCGGCUGUGCCCAUGGCCUAUUUGUGGCACAGGGAGGCCGCCUGCCAAGUCUGGGGCCAUUCCGAGUCCCGCGGACGAACUUCGCCCACGACCCCCACCAAGGCUAUAGCCCACCCGUUUUUUGGCCAUUUUUCCGCUGGGGGGUCUUGGAACCCCGACCUUCGGGGGCUGAUUUUNNNNNNNNNNNNNNNNNNNNNNNNNNNNNNNNNNNNNNNNNNNNNNNNNNNNNNNNNNNNNNNNNNNNNNNNNNNNNNNNNNNNNNNNNNNNNNNNNNNNCGCCCCCCACAUAGGCUAUAGCCCACCCGUUUUUUGGCCAUUUUUCCCCUGGGGGGUCUUGGGACCCCGACCUUCGGGGGCUGAUUUUUGGGCGCGGCUGUGCCCGUGGCCUAUUUUUGGCACACGGAGGCCGCCCGCCAAGUCUGGGGCCAUUCCGAGUCCGGCGGAGGAACUUCGCCCACGCCCCCCACCAAGGCUAUAG